GACAGAGGGUGCGAACGUUGUUCGGAAUUACUGGGCGUAAAGCGCGUGUAGGCGGUCGUGCAAGUCGGGUGUGAAAGCCCUGGGCUCAACCCAGGAAGUGCAUUCGAUACUGCGCGACUGGAGUCCCGGAGAGGAUGGUGGAACUCUCGGUGUAGAGGUGAAAUUCGUAGAUAUCGAGAAGAACACCGGUGGCGAAGGCGGCCAUCUGGACAGUGACUGACGCUGAGACGCGAAAGCGUGGGGAGCAAACAGG
rnacentral:rRNA from 1 species